AACCAUUAUUUGCAUCUAUACUAUUUGCAUAUGUAUGGACAUACAAAUAAGCCUUUUUUUAAUUUCAGGAUUGCAUCUGCCACCCGAUCGUGAAAAUUUUAAUAAGCGCCUUUCAAGAUCUCGGCGUGUUAUUGAAAACGCCUUCGGAAUUAUGACAGCACGAUGGAGGAUUUUGCUAUCCCCAUUGCAAAUGCAACCAUCAAGAUCGUGAAAGCAACAGUGCUGCUACAUAAUUUUUUAAAGCUAAACGAUGGCAGUUAUUGUCCACCUGAAUAUGUUGAUCGAUAUGAAGGAGACAAUGUAUUAAAUGGAUUAUGGCGCCAAGAAAUCUCAGCACCCCUACGAGGAACUGGUCGAUUAAUGUCAAACAUCGGUACAAGAAGUGCUUUCGUGUUGAGAUAUCAAUUGAAAGGUUAUAUAGCCGCGCAUCCUAUUAAUUAAAUACACACCUAUUCAAUUAAGUCACUCACAUAACAUGUAUGUAGUUGCAUACAAUAGAAGUAUUAGUCAUUGCGGUAUGUAAAAAUAUGUAAAUAUUAAGCUGUAUAUUGCUUCCCUUUACAAUUAUUUUGCGCACUUUUUCUACGACGAUAAAACUCAAUGAUUAAUUAUACUCUUCUAUAGAAUAUCAUGAGCUUCCUGGAAACUGGCGAUGGCAAGGCAUUGGUGCAUCAACUUCAAGUUAAUUAUAUUCACCAGCUCAUACAGGCACGCUUAGUCGAAAAUCCAAAGGCACUAAGCGAGGUAUAUAACUGUUCGCAUCACUUUUGUCAGUCUCUGCAGCUUAAAGUACUUUACACACAAACGCUACGUCUCAACUAUGAACGUUUGGAUGAGAAUAUUAACAUUGAAGAAUGUGUACCAGGUGUGAGAAUAAUUACCCAACCGCACUUGCUUCAACGCCGAUAAAAGCUAAUUACAGAAAAUUAUAAUAUAAUUAUGACACCUAUAAUUCGCUGAGUUCGAUUGCCAAGGUGCCUAUAAUGCCUCGCAAUCUAAUCGAAAAAUUUUCGCGAGUUCUAUAUGAAAUUGAUAAAAUUUAUUCUGCUGGUUUUUGCUGUUUGGUAUGGAAAACAUAUAUAAAAAAACGUGAGGGUAUUCAUAUUGUUGAUGCUGGCUGUUUGUAUAUAUAGUGGCGUUCAAAAUAAUAGCAGAAAAAUUAAAAAUGACACU